UUUGAAAUAAAGAAAAGAGACUUUUUUAUUGAUCAAUAUUCUUUUACAUCACAAAUACACACUAACACUUUAUCACUCUAUUCACUACACAUUCUUUUCUUUUUGCAUACAUAUUAUCUACAUACAUAUAAUAUGAUAUUUCAGAAAAUGACAACAAAAAUCGGUGUAGCUUUAAGCCAAAUUUCCUUUAAGCCUAAGCUUCACACUUAAAAGUUUCAGCUGCAAAUUAAGCUCCCAAUUAGUCUUCAUGAACAAGCCUAACCAACUUAAACCAAGUCAGCUCCAUCAUCAUUGGCGCUUCAUGAUUCGUACCUUUUCAUCCUCUCCAAGCAAGUUGCUCAAGGCAAACCCCAAGCUAUCACCAAGCCAGGCCAAACUGAUCCCAUGUGCACAUAUAAGAUACAAAGAGAAUAUUUUUGUUACUGAGUGAAUUAGGGGGACCACAAUAAAAAAUUCACACUUACAACACAAUUGAAUAAACAAAUUUACACCAACAAACUCAUCUCCCACAAAACCAAAUAUCACAAAUUCAUUUCAAUAAACUCACACACUUGGUGAAUUUCCCACACGUACAAACUACCAUAUAUAAUAAUGCUACUAUUUCACUCAUUCAAAAAAUGAUCACCAUAGUUAUAAUCUGCAUAAAUUCCCCUGAACUGCUUGGUUGCUUAUAGAGUGAUUCUAAUAAUGAAUCACUUUAUGCUAACUUAGAGCAACAUAUUUUAAUGCGGGGUAUUAAUUCUUCUACCUAGAUUUCCUCACCAUUAAACCCUUACUCAAAGCUCUCUAAACCACCUCAUCAUAGCUUCAUACUAAAACUCUGAAGGAGGCAAGCUAAGCCACUCAAUAUGACCACAAUUCAUCACCUUCAAUCUCAUUUUGAUUAAUCCUCACUUUUCAAGCAAUCUAUCUCUCAGCACUCAUCUCAUUUGACUUUAAAUUCUCUACACACACCAAUUAUUCAGCUUAUAUUUUCUAUCACAAUAAUAACAUGACAUACAACAGACAUGCAUUUAUAGAUCACAAAAAAGGAAAAGAGUAAAAGAUGAAGAAUGUAUUCUAAAGCAACGAAGGAAGAAGAUUCUUACCUGAAUCUCCAAGCUUCCUCUGGGUUUCUUUUUCGCUCUCUUCAUCAGUGAUAAUCAUUACCAUGAAUCUUUACAUUCCCGUUGGUAAGUGUUAUUUCUCUUCAUUCUUGAUACCAUGAUGAACGCUUUGACUUGUUAAUCCAUAGUCCUUCCCUAAUUAAUUGAAAUGGUGAACAUCUAAGAUUUAAUUUCAUUUCAGACAUUUUAGGGUUUCAUAUGUUUGUUUUGAUUUGAGGGUUUUGGGUUGGGUUUUGACAAUUUGAAGGUUAUGGUUAGAAAUUGGGUGAAAAGAGGAAGAAAAUAAGGGUAGAAUGAGGAGGUCUGGUGGUGCCCCACCGCAUGAAGCAAUUUCUGGUACAGCGGGGCGAUUUUUGGAUGCCGCGAAAGUUAGAGAACGAAGAGAAAGAGGGUUUAAGAGAGUAUUUGUGAGGAGAGAGCAAAAGGGAAGCGAAAUGAGGUCUUUAUGCUUUUUUAGACUUCUCUCUCUCACUCUCACUCUCUCACUCUCACUCUCUCCCCCUCUCUCUCUCUCUCUCUUUCUCUCUCUCUGAUGGGUUGCUCACAUUUGCCCUUCAUACCUCUUGUUAGAUGGAAACGUGUGUAGUGUUUGGACCAUGGUAUUGGUUG
rnacentral:lncRNA from 1 species